rfam:Babesia microti strain RI apicoplast complete genome
UAGGAUAUGAUCUAAAAGGAAAAGAUUAUGAAUUUUGAUUUCAUAAAUAUAGGUUCGAUUCCUGUUAUCCUAA